UACGAAGGGGGCUAGCGUUGCUCGGAAUCACUGGGCGUAAAGCGCACGUAGGCGGAUUGCUAAGUCAGGGGUGAAAUCCUGGAGCUCAACUCCAGAACUGCCUUUGAUACUGGCGAUCUUGAGUCCGGGAGAGGUGAGUGGAACUGCGAGUGUAGAGGUGAAAUUCGUAGAUAUUCGCAAGAACACCAGUGGCGAAGGCGGCUACCUGGACCAGCACUGACACUGAGGCACGAAAGCGUGGGUAGCAAACAGG
rnacentral:rRNA from 1 species